rnacentral:rRNA from 1 species
GACAGAGGGUGCAAACGUUGUUCGGAAUUACUGGGCGUAAAGCGUGUGUAGGCGGCCAGGCAAGUCGGGUGUGAAAGCCCCGGGCUCAACCCGGGAAGUGCACCCGAAACUGCUUGGCUAGAGUACUGGAGAGGUUGGUGGAAUUCUCGGUGUAGAGGUGAAAUUCGUAGAUAUCGAGAGGAACACCGGUGGCGAAGGCGGCCAACUGGACAGAUACUGACGCUGAGACACGAAAGCGUGGGGAGCAAACAGG